rnacentral:rRNA from 1 species
UACGGAGGGUGCGAGCGUUGUUCGGAAUCACUGGGCGUAAAGCGCGUGUAGGCGGCCCACUAAGUCUGAUGUGAAAGCCCGGGGCUCACCCCCGGAAGUGCAUUGGAAACUGGUGGACUCGAGUCCCGGAGAGGAGAGUGGAAUUCCUGGUGUAGCGGUGAAAUGCGCAGAUAUCGGGAAGAACACCCGUGGCGAAGGCGGCUCUCUGGGACGGUACUGACGCUGAGACGCGAAAGCGUGGGGAGCGAACAGG